GUUGCUGUGGCCGAGUGGUUAAGGCGAUGGCCUUGAAAUCCAUUGGGGUUUCCUAUGCAGGUUUGAAUCCUGCCAGCAACG